rnacentral:rRNA from 1 species
ACUCCUGCGGGAGGCAGCAGUGGGGAAUUUUGGACAAUGGGCGAAAGCCUGAUCCAGCCAUGCCGCGUGCAGGAUGAAGGCCUUCGGGUUGUAAACUGCUUUUGUACGGAACGAAACGGCCUUUUCUAAUAAAGAGGGCUAAUGACGGUACCGUAAGAAUAAGCACCGGCUAACUACGUGCCAGCAGCCGCGGUAAUACGUAGGGUGCAAGCGUUAAUCGGAAUUACUGGGCGUAAAGCGUGCGCAGGCGGUUAUGUAAGACAGUUGUGAAAUCCCCGGGCUCAACCUGGGAACUGCAUCUGUGACUGCAUAGCUAGAGUACGGUAGAGGGGGAUGGAAUUCCGCGUGUAGCAGUGAAAUGCGUAGAUAUGCGGAGGAACACCGAUGGCGAAGGCAAUCCCCUGGACCUGUACUGACGCUCAUGCACGAAAGCGUGGGGAGCAAACAGGAUUAGAAACCCCAGUAGUCCCAUGAU